GCCCAACCCCGAGCGGCCAUUGGAAACUGGGGAGCUUGAGUGCAGAAGAGGAGAGUGGAAUUCCACGUGUAGCGGUGAAAUGCGUAGAGAUGUGGAGGAACACCAGUGGCGAAGGCGACUCUCUGGUCUGUAACUGACGCUGAGGCGCGAAAGCGUGGGGAGCAAACAGGAUUAGAUACCCUGGUAGUCCACGCCGUAAACGAUGAGUGCUAGGUGUUAGGGGUUUCGAUGCCCGUAGUGCCGAAGUUAACACAUUAAGCACUCCGCCUGGGGAGUACGGCCGCAAGGCUGAAACUCAAAGGAAUUGACGGGGACCUGCACAAGCAGUGGAGCAUGUGGUUUAAUUCGAAGCAACGCGAAGAACCUUACCAGGUCUUGACAUCCUUUGACCACCCAAGAGAUUGGGCUUCCCCUUCGGGGGCAAAGUGACAGGUGGUGCAUGGUUGUCGUCAGCUCGUGUCGUGAGAUGUUGGGUUAAGUCCCGCAACGAGCGCAACCCUUGAUCUUAGUUGCCAGCAUUGAGUUGGGCACUCUAAGGUGACUGCCGGUGACAAACCGGAGGAAGGUGGGGAUGACGUCAAAUCAUCAUGCCCCUUAUGACCUGGGCUACACACGUGCUACAAUGGAUGGUACAAAG
rnacentral:rRNA from 1 species